UGGCAUAACAGUUAAGCGCUUGGCUCCCAACCAAAAGUUCGAUGGUUUGAAUCCAUC
rnacentral:tRNA from 1 species